rnacentral:rRNA from 1 species
AAGUCGAGCGAACGGACGAGAAGCUUGCUUCUCUGAUGUUAGCGGCGGACGGGUGAGUAACACGUGGAUAACCUACCUAUAAGACUGGGAUAACUUCGGGAAACCGGAGCUAAUACCGGAUAAUAUUUUGAACCGCAUGGUUCAAAAGUAAAAGACGGUCUUGCUGUCACUUAUAGAUGGAUCCGCGCUGCAUUAGCUAGUUGGUAAGGUAACGGCUUACCAAGGCAACGAUGCUUAGCCGACCUGAGAGGGUGAUCGGCCACACUGGAACUGAGACACGGUCCAGACUCCUACGGGAGGCAGCAGUAGGGAAUCUUCCGCAAUGGGCGAAAGCCUGACGGAGCAACGCCGCGUGAGUGAUGAAGGUCUUCGGAUCGUAAAACUCUGUUAUUAGGGAAGAACAUAUGUGUAAGUAACUGUGCACAUCUUGACGGUACCUAAUCAGAAAGCCACGGCUAACUACGUGCCAGCAGCCGCGGUAAUACGUAGGUGGCAAGCGUUAUCCGGAAUUAUUGGGCGUAAAGCGCGCGUAGGCGGUUUUUUAAGUCUGAUGUGAAAGCCCACGGCUCAACCGUGGAGGGUCAUUGGAAACUGGAAAACUUGAGUGCAGAAGAGGAAAGUGGAAUUCCAUGUGUAGCGGUGAAAUGCGCAGAGAUAUGGAGGAACACCAGUGGCGAAGGCGACUUUCUGGUCUGUA